rnacentral:rRNA from 1 species
UACGUAGGUGGCAAGCGUUUUCCGGAAUUAUUGGGCGUAAAGCGCGCGCAGGCGGUUAUGUAAGUCUGAUGUUAAAGCCCGGGGCUCAACCUCGGUUCGCAUUGGAAACUGCGUAACUUGAGUGCAGAAGAGGAAAGUGGUAUUCCACGUGUAGCGGUGAAAUGCGUAGAUAUGUGGAGGAACACCGGUGGCGAAGGCGACUUUCUGGUCUGUAACUGACGCUGAGGCGCGGAAGCGUGGGGAGCAAACAGG